rnacentral:misc_RNA from 1 species
GAUGGAGAACGUAGCGAAAUGCGAUAAGUAGUGUGAAUUGCAGAAUUCAGUGAAUCAUCGAAUCUUUGAACGCACAUUGCGCCCCUUGGUAUUCCAUGGGGCAUGCCUGUUCGAGCGUCAUUUGUACCUUCAAGCUUUGCUUGGUGUUGGGUGUUUGUCUCGCCUUUGCGUGUAGACUCGCCUUAAAAUAAUUGGCAGCCGGCGUAUUGAUUUCGGAGCGCAGUACAUCUCGCGCUUUGCACUCAUAACGACAGCGUCCAAAAGUACAUUUUACACUCUUGACCUCGGAUCAGGUAGGGAUACCCGCUGAACUUAAGCAUAUCAAUAAGCGGAGGA